UUACAGCCAUAUCAAGUUGAAACACAGGUUCUCAUAUAAUCACCAAAGUUAAGCAAUAUCGAACCUGGUCAUUACCUAGAUGGGUGACCGCUUGGGAAUAUCACCUGCUGUAAG